AUGGCUAUACCUGCAGCAUAUGGAAGUUCCUGGGCCAGAGACUGAAUCGAUGCAGCAGUUGCGACCUAUAUACACCACAGGUCCAGUAAAGCCAGAUCCUUUUAAACUACUGCACUGGGCCGGGGAUCAAACCCAUACCUCUGGAGUGACCCAAGCCACCGCAGCUGGAUCCUUAACUCACUGCACCACAGUGGGAACUCCUCUCUUGCUUUUCCUGAAAGUUACACCGAGGUAGGAUCUCUCAACUCUAGAGGGGAGGGGAGGCUCGUUUUUCAGCUUUGUAAAAAUGCCACUGUGCUCUCUUUUAUCUUAUUUGUUUCUUCCUCUCAAUCUUAUGUCUCUAACAUUCAUCCAGGUUGUUGCCUGUACUUACUGCCUAGGGUUCUAUUCUAUGCAAUUGUUCUUCUAUUGAAGGAAAACGGGAUGAUUUUCAAUGACCUGGUUUGGGAGGAGUUGUUUGGCGUUGAGAAAGAGAAUGUUAUGACAUUAUUAUCUAUGUGUCCUGAUGCAUAUGAAGAAGAGUUUUUCCCAGGGUACACACGAAGAGCGGAACUGAAGAGGGGUGAAGAGCCUGGAGAUGGAGUCCAAUGUGAGCCUUUUGAUUAUUAAGAGAGUCUCUUUUGCCAGCUCCAAAGAAGCUGCCUUGUUGCCUUGGCAGAAUUUAUUUUCCAAACUCCAUUCAGGGACUUUCUACUUCAGGACUUCCUGAACAAGAGCUGUUCAGCCAAAGUUCAUCUCUCACGCUCACACAGAGGGGGUGGUUUUAGAAAGAGAAAGCCCUUUGGUUUGAAGCGCGGCUCUUCCAUGGACUAACAAUGACGUUGGACAAAUCUUGUUUACCUCACAGGACAGCGCUGAAAAAUACCCAGGAAACGUCAUUACAGUUGAGAUGUUCAGGGUUAGGGCAUCCAAGGAAGUAGAAUGAGAAGCACGUUCUAGACUCCUUAGGACAUGACGAAAGGGCCAGAACACAAGGGCAUCCAAAGGACGCUCUAAGCCUCACCAAGGUGUCCUCUGUGCCUCUGACAGUGCCCUGGUGACCAUCCUUCCACAUCUCAGAUGGCUCUGGACUCAAAUACCCGGUCAGCGGGACCAACGGAAAGGGAGGAAGAGAAACAACUCACUGAGGGGAUCUUAUGAUCUCCCCCAAGAGAAGGUAAGUUUCUCUUGCUCUGAAUUCUUGCUUUUUUUUUUUAAGAGAUGAAAGUUUUUCUCUAAUCUCCUCCUCAAUCUUGAUUUAUUUUUCCCAGAGGAUGCAUGCACCAGACACACCCACCUUUUUGGCCUCAAAGAGACUGCUCCUCCCUGGACCAGACAAUUCUUGAGGUAGCAAGGGGCCCAGCAUGCCUCUGAUUUGCAAACAAAGCCAACCAGAACCUUCCUCCCUCCAUCAGGUCCACACAUCCCCAGAGGUGAUGUUCUUCUGGCUUAAUGGUCCAGGGCCAGGUAUGAGGCAGCUAGGGGCCAUCCCCAUAGCCCAAAGCCCACCAAAAUUAUUCAAAGUACAGUCCCAGGCUGUUUACUCUUGCCUUCAGAAACCCCAGUAAAGGCUGUGGUCUCAGAGUUCCCCCUGCUCCUGUCCUCUGCCUCCUGACCACUCUGGUGUCUUUCCUACAUGGUCUCAUGUGCCAUGCCUUCUGUCUCUGGCACCUGUGGGGUAAUAACAUUUGUUUUUUUGAGCCUCUCUGUGCCUCCUCUUAUAGCUGCACUUGACUGACCAGCUCAGAAAAGAAUAGAAAACCGUUGUUGAGAAUUUAUCAUGACUCCCGUCCUUAUGUUACCAAUGAGCAAACUGGGGUGGGUGUGUGCUGCAGGAGUCUCUUGAAUCUUAAACCUCCUUUGCUUUAAUAAUGGAACAAACUACUUACGCCUGUGUUAUGAUGCCACUCACCUCCACCCAGAAAGAAAUGUGAGCAGCUCCCAAAGGCAAGAGGAGACAGACUGACAUGUUCUGGGUGGUUCUUCGUUUCAGGACACUCUAAGCUUCCUGUGAGGCUCCCCAGGAAGGGAGGGCCUUGGCUAGUUUAUGGCUUGGGUCCCCACAUUUAGUGUCUCCCUCUGACCCAAAGCCUCAACACCUUUACCUGUCAAAGGGACAUUACAGCAGGUAACUAUUAAAAAACACAACAAUCAUUACAACUAAUUACAGCUUUUACAACUACUUUGAAGAUCUGAGAUGAAAGACACUUCAUGAAGGCAGAUAUGGUGACAGGUGAGCCAUACAAUUAAUUAAACAAUCUUGUGCAUAAUCACAGGCAGAGUGAUCUUCAAGAGCCAUGAGGCUGGGUUGAGGCAGCUCCCAGGCCCUUCCCAUGGGCUGACGGUCAAGAGUAUCUUUCAUCUCUCUUCAUUAAACUCCUCACACCUAAGGCUCCCUGAGCUUGCCCCUCCUCUGCAAAAUAAGGGCAGCACCAGUACGCAGCUCAGGGGCCUUUCGUCCACACAAAAGCAUUGAGUUAAUUAGCAGGUCUAAUAGAAAGUGUUUUCAAGGCCUCACUUUGAAUACUGGCUCUUAUUAGCUCUUAGUUCUGAGCAAAUCUUAAUCUCUCCUAGUCUUAUUUUCCUCAUCUCUAAAAUGGGGUAAUUAUCUUACCUAACCUUGUUGGAGGUACUGCUGAUUAAACAAGAAAUUAGCACAAUGCCCGACACGUGGUCAGUGUUCACUACAUGAAAGUCAUUGUCACUGACAUAUUGCAGGUAACUGGCCCUUUCUUCGAACAUGGUUAAGCAACUUGUCCACGGUUGUCUGCAGCCUUUCCUCUAGGCUGGAGACAGUCACAAUGUAUAUCUCUGUAAAUAAAAUAAGCCUCUUUUUGUGCAGAUGAAACUGGGUGGGUGGAUAUUCACCAGACUUGGAAGGUGUCUUUAGAUCUGGCUUAAAAUAAAGGCUAAGUAGUAGAUAGGAUUCCAUAGGGGCUGUGGCUAUAUCGAUAGGCAAGCAUCUUCCAGAGCAGCUAAAACUGAGAUAACAGUGUCUGGUCCACAUGGCUCACUGAUUAGGAAAGUAGUUCAUGAUCUAUGAUGCCAUGUAAGAGGAGGGGCAGGGGGAGAGAAAGAGAGAGAGAGGGAAGAUAAAGAUAAAGACAGCUGUCUUUGGGGCAGGUAUGGUCUAAGAUGGUGCGCUUUUUUACUGGGGCAACUCCAUAUGGUUAGAGAAGCAGCUGUAGGAGUUAUUUAUUUCAUAAUGAUGAAUGAUGAUGCUUAGCAGCUCAUAUUCUAAGUAGCCAGAUUCCUCGAUUUGGUUCCUGGGUUACAUAUGCUAAGAGACCAUGGAGAAGAGGAUCCAGUGGCCUUGACCCUGUGCUAAUCCCAUGCUCCCCUGCAGCAUGUGGAAGAAAACCAGGAUGUGUAGGGGAACAGCAAGAAGAAGGUCAAUGAGUAACACUGCUACUCUUAUGAGGAGCACAGCAGGGACCCCAGCACUCCCAGGUGAUGGUGCAUCCAGCCCACGAAGCCUUUUUGCUUUCACAUGUCUCUUGGCUCAUGGGAGGAAGUGUGAAAGCUGCUUUAUUCUCCCCACUUGACAGACAUGGCAACUGAGGUUCAAGGAGGCUGAGGGCCAUCCUCGAGUCACUCAAGGUGGCCUGCCCUGGGCCAACUGGUCCCACAGGAUGUGUCAUGUCAAGGGUCAACAAAUGGACCUGAUGGGACACAGAAACAGUACAGUGACUUGGGAGUAGGGUCUAGGUGCGUGAGGGAGGCAGGGAGGGAGUGUGGUCUGAAGCCCACUGUUCUUAGGCAAGAAGAAGGUGACGAAAUGACCUUUUGCCUUCCUUGAUCUGAGAAGCAGCCCCAGCUCUCAGAUCCCAGUGGAUCUGCCUUCUUGGUGGUCACUAACCAUGCUUCAAGGCAGCAGAGAGUGCUCCUGAGUUGGCACCUUGGGGUUGGGUCUCCAAGGCCAGGGCCCAGAACCUUGGCUCCAGUGAGCACCUUGCAGGUCUUGGAGGAAAUGGCAGCAUCGACGAGGCAGGGGACCUCGGAUCUUACCUGCUGUGAUGGGUGGCCAGGAAGAGAAUUUUUGAGUGGCUUUUGGGAAACAAACAACCCGUCCCAAAGGGAGUUUGUGACAAGAAUCCUAAUCACUGUUUAUGAAGCACCUACUACACAUCUUUACUUUAGAUCCUUUUCUACUCCUCCCACAAGACUCUGAGGGACACAAUAGCUCAAAUGAUGGGUACCUACUUUUCAUGCCUUCUCUCAUUAAAUCCUAAAUUCCCAAUGCUGUAUGUAUUAUUACCCUAAUUAUUAAACGGAAGAUCAAACCAUCACAUGUAACGUGCACAGACUCACACAGGCAAUGACAGAGCUGGGAUUCUGACUCAGGGCUGGGUGUCAUCACCAAGCCACUCUUUCGACUGGAAUCUCCUGGACUAGGUUGUCCUACCUUAUCCCCUAGCAUAUUUGCCUCCAGAUUCUGACUCACCUGGAAGAGCAUGCAUAUGGGGUGCUCAUUUAUGAAACAAGGUCAUGGUAAAGGGAUAAAGACAAAGGCGAGCAGGACGAACAGCCCCCAGCCAAGGAGAAGGCUUGUGUCAGUCAUGGUCAGGUCCAGCCCUGCAACCUGCAGCCGAGACACUGGGCUGGAUGGAUCUCAGGCAGGCUCAGCUUCUGCAAGGGGGCAGAGGGACUCUGCAAAGCUCAAAACAGAAAUACACAACCUGCUCCUCAACCGGUCAUCAGCAUUAACUGAAACGCUGCAGGUAAAAGUCUACACAGGCCCUGGGAUAGAGGCACUUGGCCCUUAGGGAAUGCCUGGUGUAGCGUGGAGAUGACCAAGAGACUGGUUUUCACUCUUUGGCCCUUUCUGGGCAAGGAUAAGACCACCCAGCCCUUUGGCAGCAGGGUCUAACUCCAGCCCUCCCAAGCCAGAGACCCUCCUGGGACACAUGCGAUAGGGAAGGGAAUUUGAAAGAGCAGUUCUUAUCCCAUUUCUGCUCCUGAAGUCAGGUCUGAGCUGCCUGUCUGAGGAGGCCAGUUUUAGCCCAUAAAAAUACAAAAAGACCAGUUAAAUUUAAAUUUCAAGUAAACAACAUGGACUUUUCUGAUUUAAGUGUGACCCAGUGCCUAUCCUCGCGUCUGUGUUGUAGGCACACGUUCCUCUGGUUGGCUGUUCUUGGCAGAGGGGAAGCCCUGCAAGAGGCUCAGACCCUGGAUGUGCCUGGCACCAUCCUCUCUGGAGACCUGAACCCAGCCAAGGAGACACAAGUGGCUCCAGGAGGACCCAGCAUCAGUCCUCUUCCCUGAGUAGGGACAGAUGGGCGAACUGGAUGCUGCAGAUGUUGGCGCAGAUGAGAAAGACCAGGUGUCUCCUGGGGAAGGGCCUAAUGUGAUGUCAAGUGCUGCCAUCCCAGGCCUUAAUGGAAGGAGCUGCUCCUAAGUGGGUCUUUCCCACAAAGCAUUUCCUUUUCUCUCUCCCUCCCCUCCUCUUCUCCCUCAGCUUCCUUCUUCCCCUCUUCCCUCCCUUAUGGAACCUAAGGCAGCGAGUGGCUCUCAAUCAGGCCAAGUGUGCAUCCAGUUCCUGUGGCCACCACGGAAGGCUGAGUGCUGCACAGGGAGCCCCUUGGUGGCUGUGUUGUGCCUUCUGCCACCCUGGCUGUGAGGGCCUGGCCCAGGCCCACUCUCCCAGGACAUUCCUCCCGGCCCUGUGCAGGCACAGCUGUCAGGAUGGGCAGGCCCUCACCUGAGGGCCUCGCCUGGAUCCCGGCACACCUUGCCCCCAUUGCCCAAGGACUGGCAGCAGAUCAAAGAGCUCUGGUUAGAACAACAUUUGGCAGCCAGAGGUGGCUCAGCAAAAUGAUCCUGGCCUGCGUGCAGGAGCUGAGCCUCCUGGAGUGCGGCGUGUAAAGCCUCCAUGGCUUCUGUCUGCGGCCGAGCCCUGGUAUCAGCCCCCCUCGCAACCUCAGUCCCCCCUAGUCAAGUCCUUCCAUCCUGGUGCUGCAGGAGCCUUCAUGAGCAUUGGCACCUGGAGUGUGCAGCCUGGCCUGUGUGCUGUGCCUCCUGCCCUGAAGCAAAAUAUCAGCAAGCAAGGCUACCAUUUCAACACAGCA
rnacentral:lncRNA from 1 species